GCCAGAGGAGGCAAGCGUUAUCCGGAAUUACUGGGCGUAAAGCGUCCGUAGGUGGUCUGACAAGUCUGGGGUUAAAGCCCGGAGCCUAACUCCGGAUCGGCCCUGGAAACUGCCAGACUAGAGUAAGGUAGGGGUUGCGGGAAUUCCCGGUGUAGCGGUGAAAUGCGUAGAUAUCGGGAAGAACACCAGUGGCGAAAGCGCGCAACUGGGCCAUUACUGACACUGAGGGACGAAAGCUAGGGGAGCGAAUGGG
rnacentral:rRNA from 1 species